rnacentral:lncRNA from 1 species
UUUCCUCUAAGAAACCACUGAAGAGAUUGAACAGUGACAGGAGAUGCAAAGAGGGGUCUACUGAAGAUUGCCUAGAACUUGAAAUAUGAAUGAAUUAAUGCCAAAAUACGACCCAAGAACCCACUCAUCUUGACCGU